AAACGUGUAAGGCAGGGGAAUACGACUGCAAAUUUCGACCUCUUGCACUGGUACAUUGCUAAUUUAGUGAUCAAUGACAGUGACGAUUCUUCUCAUGAUUCGCUCUGCUGAUUUGAUGCUUUAAUUAUCUAUAUGCUUCUGGAAAUUGUAUGCGUUGUUUGUCAACAGUUGACAUUUAGAUGGCAGAGGUAGUAUAGAUGCUUUCUAGGUUGAAGUUUAUUUUCCACCGAAUUAAUGCGGUUGAUUUUCUCCAAAAUGAAAAAUAAAAAUUAUCUGCGGACUUUAGAUACGCCUGCAGACGUCCCGAUCUGUCUGUGCAAGGUGUUUAUUGAGAUUUAUUGCCUGAGAAGGUAGUAAUAAUGAUAUUUCUAGAUGAUUCUUAAUUAGAAGUUUGACAAUUUGCUAUAAGUGAAACUUAUCAAAUCUUGUGGGAGUGUUAGUGCAAUAGUAAGGACAUUGUAUGUAUUUUGGAAUCACGAAGCAUGCAAAAUUUCGAAAAGAUAAGUUAUAGUAGCAUUUUAUUGAUUAGGACAGAAGAUGAACUCCAGAGAAGUGUUUUCAGUGUUAAAAUUAGUUAUAUUUCUAUUUUCUUGUCUAUGUGGAUAAGUUGAUUAAGGAGAAACAAUAAGUUACAAAAAAAAAGUGUUUCUGGAAAGGGGAAGCUCACAAGUCAUUUGCAAUUGCAACCUAGUUUGGAGCAGUGGUAGCUCGACCAAAAUAAAGAAAAUACUCUAGAUACAAAAUGAACCUUUCCACUUAGAUAGGUGUGAGGAAAAAAGGCUUUUGAUCAAAUACAUCUAUCCUCAUUGAGAGGAGCUGGAAACCCGAAGAUGGAAGAAUUCAUUUGAAGUCAUUAUAAUGCACUUACUUAACAAAGAGCGGUGUAGGUUUCAGAGAAUGGAAAAAAAGAAAAGAAAAAGAAGAUCAAAUAGACAUGGAAUAACCUGUGGAGGCUUUCCUCCCAUCGUUAUUCUCCAAAAUUGCCUCUAUGUUGACUGAUUGAGACUUGACUUGGGAUAGCAGAAAACCAUAUUUAUCCCAAAUCCUUUUACCUCAUUUGUGUUUUGAACUUGAGCUGGUAUAAGAAGUGAACAUAAAGACAUGCCUUUUGAUGAAAAAAACCUGAGGUGGAUCUGGAUUCUUAAUCUGAUAAAGACAGACCUGCUUGUCAAUCUGCAAAUUCAUUGAGAGAUGGUGCAAUAAGCAAAAGGGUUGGUGUAGUUUUGCAAAUGUAUUAAACUAGAGAUAUCAGUAGCUACUAUUACUAUUACUAUACAACACGUUUUAUAAACUAACUCUGUAUAAGUUAUUGUUGCAGAUAUGGUUUGAUUCGAUCAUUGAUUAUUAGGGAUUUUUUAUCCAUUAUAAUAUGCUAUACAGAUAAGCAAACCUUACAGUAACGAUAAUGGGAAGAAGGAUCCAUCAAGUCUUCAACAUGCCAACCGGGGAGAGUCUCCAUUAAGUACUCCGAUAUGCUACUGGUCGAGUCUGAAGCUUGCUCACCGGUGGGCAGGCUCGACUCAUUCUCCCUCGUAGGGUUUGAUGAUGUCUCUGAACAAUUUGCAUUAUUUGAGUUUGCAUUAGCGACUGAAGUUCUGAACUCUAUUCCAGAUUGUGAACCACUGGAUGACGUAGCACCUUGAUACGAAGAAAUGGCUGCAGAAAGCUUGACCCCAGUUAGAAGAAACCUAUUAUGUUUCUUGGUGAGUUCGUUGGCCUUGUGUAUUGGUACAUCACAUUCUCGACAAAGUAAAGCCCUGUCUUCUUGACAAAACAGUAACGCUUGUCUUUCCUGUACAAGUAUAUAUGAUUCCGUUACUCAAAUUAUCAGUUUGUUGUAAAAGAUUGUGCUCUUUUUGAAAAUCUCAACAUUGAAGUGGUGAUUCGAAACGAGUUAAUGACAAUGUAUGUUUAUAAACCUGGCAAAUGUCGCAGCGUGGAGAUUCUUUCAACUGAGGAUUAAGAAGAGAGAAACGAGGAUGCUUGCUCGCGAGCUUAUUGGCGUUAUGAACUCGGUCGUCGCAAUUCUGGCAGAGGGCGGCUUCAUCGGCUGUGCAGAAUACGGCUGCUGCUUCUUUCCCACAAACGUCGCAUUGAAUCUUCAUUU
rnacentral:lncRNA from 1 species